CAGAUGUGAAAAUGAAGAACAGAAAUUGAACAUCAUCCAGGAGUGGCAUAACUGGAAAUCAAAAUCCCCAUCUGCUUUGUCAUGGCCUUGGUGUAGGGAUUGUCUGGCCGCACAUCGGAACAGUACCUUCUGAGCCAGCCAUGAGAUUUUCCUGCAGGAAAUGAAGAACUGGAUGUGCAGACACGGCUGUCCCUCGAGCAAGAGGCCCUUUCUGAUUGCCCUCGCUCAUUUGUCAUCCCACGUCCUGAACUGUGGGGAGAAGGGAAGAAAACUCUUGUGCUGGUUCAAAGUUGGUGUUUCUAUCCAAAAUCCAGAAAUAGAGGCUGUAAAUAGCACUUGUGACAUAGUCCUUUAGUGCUGCAGAAAAAGACCAUGCUGUAAUUACUUCCAGUGGGACAGAAAAUGUUAGUGCUUGUAUGCUGUAAGAGGGAAGGAGCACACAUGUUGUGUGGCCCCCUGCCAGGCUGGGCUUUGUUCAAGGUGUUAAAGCAACUGCCCAGCUCCAUGCUCCCAACCCUUGUUUCUGCACCCAUCUCUUAGAUUGCUGAAACAGGAAUGAAAAUGAGACUGCACUGAAGGAGCCCUUGAAUACGUGCCUAUCUCCGUAUCAGCACCUGCUCCGAGUAACACAAGAGUACAAAGAAUGUCCUGCAGGCAGAGAGAGGAGACUGCAGCUAUUUCACAUGGGCUGGGGAGAUAGAUAUUCAGUGAACUGAUGUUCUUUCUGGAAUGGACUUAGGCACUUAAGGAAAUCUACACUUGGACGAUAUUUUUUUAUUAUUAUUUUUGAAUAUUUCCUGACAGCGGGUUCUGGAUUUUUUGUUCUCUAUAGAGUAAACCCCUCAUUGUCCUUGUUAGAUACAAGCAGAUGAACAGUGCAGCUAGCAGCCAGCAUGCACAGCAUUUUUGGGGCGCUGCCCCUUACUAGACUUGCUGUUACAGGCAGGAGUUGUAAAAUAAUAAUAAA